rnacentral:rRNA from 1 species
UACGUAGGGGCCAGCGUUGUCCGGAUUCAUUGGGCGAAAGCGCGUGUAGGCGCCAGGUAGGUCCGAUGUGAAAUCUGGAGGCUCAACCUCCAGCUGUCAUUGGAAACCAUCUGGCUAGAGUCCGGAAGAGGAGAGUGGAAUUCCUGGUGUAGCGGUGAAAUGCGCAGAUAUCAGGAAGAACACCGAUGGCGAAGGCAGGUCUCUGGGCCAUUACUG